GAUCUUCUUUGUUUUCUUCCCGUUUCGCUGAUGUCGUGUGGUCCGUUCGCGCGUGCUUGCCAGUGUGAGUAAUGUUGGAGCUCAUAAAAUUUCGCCGAUUCCGUGUGCGUGUGUAUGUGUGAGCAAUGCUGUAGCCACGAAUGGUUGGUGAGCGGCAUGAUCUCACUCGGUCAUUCCAAACAAUAAUCUCGAGCCGGACGCACUGCGGCAGCAGACAACGCUUCACGUACCAUUACGCCUCCAAGUGACAGAUCAAGGAAUUGCAGCAAAAAGCUAGUGAAAAUCUCCAACGGUUCCUGCGCUUCAUAAUGCCGAACCUUAAAAGACGUUGCACACGGGCAGGGUGCUACAAGCCCUGUUCCGUCCGGGUCAAGAAAACGAAGAGGAAGCAAAUCAUCGUCCACCCGUACGGUUACACGAUGAACAUUCCGCGCCGUAACAAUCCGAACGCCAGACGUCCGAUAGAGGAUGUCAACAAGGAGGUAAUGAGGAGUCUGCGAUGCGGCUUUUUGAUUGUGUGCGUACUGCUCGCCUACCUGUGGUCAAUGUACUAUUUGUUUAGAUCUUAAAAUUUUGGCGGUUGGUAACAGCCGAUGUGUGCUACUAGCGAUUAAAUAGCAAGUCAUUAAAAUCCAUGUGUGUUGUCUCCUUUUUCUUAACUUUUAACAGCAUUUGAAAAUUUUCCG